rnacentral:rRNA from 1 species
AUUUUCGAUUAGGUAGUUGGUGGGGUAGAAGCCUAUCCAAGCCGAAGAUCGAUAGUCAAGUUUGACAGAUCAAAUGACCACAUUGGGAAUGAAAUCUCCCAAGUAGCUAAGGCUACCAGCAGUCAAGAAUAUUAGUCAAUGCUCGCAAGAGUGAACUAGCUAACUGAAAUCAUCUUUGUGUCAAAGGUGAUAACAUAAGGGAGAAUAAUGAUGUUACCUUAUUUAUAGUGUCGUCCAAGUACUCGUGCCAGAAGACUCGGUAAGGCGAGAGACGCAAACGUUAGUCGUCUUUAUCAGGCGUAAAGGGUUUGUAGGCGGCUUUAAGAAUUCAAAAAAUGGAUCAAUUAAAGCUAGAAUCAAAAGUAGGUUAAGUUAUUUAACGCUUUAGGUAGAGUUGGUAUUUGGAGAUCUAAAGUAGAAAACUAUGGGCGAAGGCUUUUUUCCAAUAAUGAUUGACGCUGAGAAACUAAGGUGAGGACAGAAAAAAGGAUUAGAGACCCUCGUAUUCCUCACUGUCAACAAUGAAUGGAAGUUAUUACAAUAGAAGUAAAAGCGAUGUUAACACGAAAAACCAUUCCGCCUUGUGAGUACGAUUGCAAAAUUGAAAACAAAAAAAUUAGUCGGUUUCGGAGCAAACGAAGUGAAGCAUGUUAUUUAAUACGAUAAUCCGCGUAUAAUCUUACCAGUUCUUGUAUAAAAACUUUAUUUUAAUCAUUUUUUUAGUUUUAAAAUAAGUGAUUUAAAUUAAAGGGAAGGUUUAAUUAAGUGUAUACAUUUAAGGGUCU